rnacentral:rRNA from 1 species
CCUACGGGCGGCAGCAGUGGGGAAUAUUGGACAAUGGGGGCAACCCUGAUCCAGCCAUGCCGCGUGUGUGAAGAAGGCCCUCGGGUUGUAAAGCACUUUCAGUGAGGAAGAACGCCUGGUGGUUAAUACCCAUCAGGAAAGACAUCACUCACAGAAGAAGCACCGGCUAACUCCGUGCCAGCAGCCGCGGUAAUACGGAGGGUGCGAGCGUUAAUCGGAAUUACUGGGCGUAAAGCGCGCGUAGGUGGCUUGAUAAGCCGGUUGUGAAAGCCCCGGGCUCAACCUGGGAACGGCAUCCGGAACUGUCCAGCUAGAGUGCAGGAGAGGAAGGUAGAAUUCCCGGUGUAGCGGUGAAAUGCGUAGAGAUCGGGAGGAAUACCAGUGGCGAAGGCGGCCUUCUGGACUGACACUGACACUGAGGUGCGAAAGCGUGGGUAGCAAACAGGAUUAGAUACCCGGGUAGUC